GGAACCCUGUGAAAUGGCAGUUUAAAGACAGCGUUACCAGAAUUGUAUGGCUAAUUAGAUACAGAGGACCAAAGGAAAACUGAAAAAAAUUCUGUACCGAAUUUCAUGCUCUUCUUUAAAGAGAGUGAGAGAGACAGAGAGAGAGACAGACAACAGAAACAGUCAUUACGUUGCCCAAGGCUGGGCUCAAACUCCUGGGCUCAGAUGAUCCUCUUGCCUCAGCCUCCCGAGUAGCUGGGACUACAAGACUACCAUGCUUGUUCUUCUUUAAAUAAAAAAUCACCAAAGGGAUGGUGAAUUUCUGGCUUGGCAGGUAUUUUGACUGCUGUUACUCAUUGUAGUAUCUUUUAUGUCUCCACAAGACAAGAUUGGUAAUUAAAUUGGUAAUUAAAACAAAAUCAAAUUGGUAAUUAAAAGAAAAUCAAAUUUCGAAUAGUGCAUUAGUAAGAGAAAAAGACAACUCAAAAUUAAGCAGUAAACUAACACACAGAACACUGGCAAAACUGAUACAUUAUCUCUAUUUAAUACUUCUUUCCCAUAGAUGGUGAGAGAUAAGUGGUUAUAUACCUGACAUUGAGUAUUUAAGAAUACUCCAACUGAGCAGACAAAGAAAAUAUCAAAGCACCACUUACAAAUAAGGGAAAUAAUCAGAUAGAAUAUGAAAAUAUAUGAAAAAGGAGGAGGGAAGGAAGCACAGAAGCUACAAAACAUAACAUUACAAACAUAAAUUUGAUUGAAACUUGCUGAAAAUUAUUCAGUGGCUCUCCACUACCUCCAAUACAACAGUUUAAACACUUAAGUAUGAUAGUCUGAUCAGAUAACAAUCCGAACCCUGUCUACAGAUCCAGUCUAGACUCUCUCUGUUCUCUGUCUGAAGCCCUACUCUUAGUCGAAUCAGAAUGAACAAGCUGCAGUUUCCCCAGAGCAUCUUGGUCUCUCUCAUCCUUCCAAGCUGCUCCCUUUCUGCUUCUUUCCUUUCUCAAGAUUCAACUCAAAGUGCAGUUCAUCUGGGACGCUUUCCCUGACUCCAAGCAACUAGAGUGUACUCCUACUUAUUAAAAAAAAUUAACUGCAAAACAGCUUCAGGCAAGUCCUUCAGGAGGUAUUCCAGAAGAAGGCAUAGUUUUCCUAGAUGAAAGCUCCAUGUUAUUGCCUCUGAAGACUUUAUAGUGGGACAAGAUGUAGGAGAAGAUAUUGAUAUGGAUGAUUUUGACCCUGUAUAAGCCCACGCUGAUGUGUGUUUGUAUCUUUGUUUUAGUUUUUAUCAAAAGUUUUAAAGGUAAAAAAAAAUUAAAAAUUUUAAAAACAGAAAAAAGCUUAUAAGGAUAUAAAUAUUAUUUUUGUACAGCUGUAGAAUGUGUAUGUUUUAGGCCAAGUAUCAUUAUAAGAGAGUCAAAGUUUCAAAAAUUAAAAAGUUCAUAAAGUAAAAACGUUAUAGUAAGCUAAUUUGUUAUUGAAGAAAAAAACUUUUUAGACAAACAGUAUAGCCUAAGUGUACAGUUUUAUAAAGUCUACAGUAGUGUACAAUAACAUUCUAGGCCUUCACAUUCACUCACUACUAACCAACUCACUCAAGAGACACUUCCAGUUCCAUAACCUCCAUUCAUGGCAAGGGCCUUAUACAGGUGUACCACUUUUUUCUCUUUUAUAGUUUUCUCACUGUACCUUUUCUAUGUUUAGAAAUGCAAAUACUUACCACUGUGUUACAACUGCCUACAGUAUUCAGUACAGUAAUGCUGCUCACAUUUGUAGAGUAGGAGCAAUAGGCUAUACCAUAUAGGUGUAUAGUAGGUUAUACCAUCUAGGUUUGUGUAAGCACAUUCUAUGAUGUUUGUACACUGACAAAAUUGUCUAAUGACACAUUUCUCAGAAUGUGUCUCCAUCAUUAAGUGAUACAUGAUUUAUAUGAGUGGUGGUGCAACCUACCUGGGGACUCUGUCCACACUGACUGUUUCAGUUCAGUACAACAAUAAUUACUGAAAUGCCUAAUAUGUGACAUGAAAGCCUUCUAUGUCAUGCCAAAGAGAAAGGAAUUUAUCCUACACAUGAUGGAAAACCACUAAUAUAUUUUAAGUAAGAAAGUGAGAUGGUCAGAAGUGCAUUUUAAAUAUUACUAUUUGUAGGAUAAAUUUAAG